CGCCACUCGCCCCUAUUAAACGGCGGCACCGUCAGAAUCCCCGUUCGCCACUCGCUCCCCAUCGAACCAAAGCUAGUUCCAUUCCAUGGCGCGCUGCAUCGCGCUUGUCAUCGUCGCCGCCUUCUGGGCCGCGUUCGGCGGCCUCGAUUCCCACGAGGCCUUCCUCGCCUCUCGGACUCGCAGCCAGGCCCCCGCCGGUCACGGGGCUGCCGCCACCGCCGCCGCCGCUGGAGCCUUCCUCCUGGCCAUCGUGGCAACCUUCACGCUCGCUUCGGCGCUCCUGCUGGCGCACGUCCGCGCGCUCGGUGCCCACCCCCACGCGGCCGGCCCCGGUGGAGCGGAGCACGGCUUCGCCACGGGCCGCCUCGCUGCGGCGACGCUCGCCGCAGCCGCGGCGGUCCUUAGCCUCGGAGCCGUGCUGCGCCUCGUUGCGUAGGCUGACGGCGGGUCGGCUCCAGUCUCCAGACUGAGUCCAGAUGAAAUGCCUAUUUGCUUGCUCCCAGAGGAGAUGGAGAAUCUGGAGACCCACCACAGUACAGAGACCCACCACAGUAGACAGUACCAAGGAUACGUAUCACUCUCCUGCAUUUUUAGUAUGGUUAGUUGGACUGGUCAGGUUUGCUGCUCUUCAGCCUCGUCCUGGGAGGAGCUGUCAGUUGCUUUGGUUGCAUAAUGGGCAGUUUCAAGUACUUCAGGUGCCAUUUUCAGCUUCGUCCUAGGAGCAGUCAAGUUUUUUGGCUGUGUUUCUUUACGCCUUGUAAAUAUAUAUGGAUUGGAUUUCAUUGGAUUAUUGUAGGAUCUGUACUGGCUAAGAUCCUGCAGAGUUUUGAUGAAAAUUCCAAUAUUAUUAAUUGUGUUUUCUGCCUGAAAAUCGUUAUGCUGUGAA